AAGGUCUGCUACCCCUUCAACUGUCCUGUUUGGUCACUGAGCUCCCCCAAAAUUGUCACUGUCCUGUUCACAUGUAACUCACUAGUGACUGUUGUUGGCCUCUUAUGCCUGUUGGGUCACAGCCACUGUGACUGCACUUGGUCAAGGUGUCUGUUCACCAUCUCUAAGAGCAUUAGUUCUGUUUAUAAAUCUCUGCAGGUAUUCUUGUUGCUGAAUAUGUCAUGUUUCCUAUAAGAAAUUAAGGAUAUUUAACUUAGAGUCAUAGCCUUUUAAUUUUUCUAAACACUGCUCAUGAAUGUAGUCUCGAGUGCAUCAAAAACCUUAAUAAUAAUUCAUGUGCUGUGGCAUGCCUUUAGUCAGCCACAAAACCAGAGCACAGAGAAUGCACAAGAAAUCUCUUGCCCUUUAUGAUUCACCUUAAUGAAGAACUGAGCUCACAGAUACUGCACACAAUUUUUGUCCUCCAUUCACCAGCUUCAAACUGUUAAAAUUCCCCUUGCAAAGAUCCAUUCCCAAGAUUAUUUGUCUCAGUUCCUUCUAUUAAUGUAAGGAUUUAUGACAGCCCAUUUUAGGAUCAUGUAGGAAUUGUGCAUUCACAUUCUGCUGCUGUUUGGGACCCAAUCUUGUUUACUGAGAUUUCAAAUCUGGAUCCACUAGGAAAACACUCUGAUCUUAAACUGUGGGAGGUGCUGGAGUUAUGUAACUUAAAGGAUUUUGUCCAGUCACUGCCAAAGAAGCUCCUCCAUGAGAUUCCAGAAGGUGGUGAAAAUCUCAGGUACAUUAUCAAGCAAGUGCUAAUGCUGUUAUUUUCCAGAACUAUGUGAUCCUUCCAGAAAAUUUACUUCAGAAGGUAUCAGGAUAGAAAUGACACAUCUCCUGUCAUUCUUAGCAGAACUAUUCUGGUAGUGCAAGUGUUUUUGAGGUGACCAACUGGUCACAGUGGUAUAAAUUCUGAUGGCCUGUGUUGUAUGGGAAGCCAAGACUAUUUUCAGCUCAAGUGUAAAGAAGGGGGGCGUGGUGUUGCAACUCAUGCAGUGCCUCAUUAGAUUUGGGUAGAAAAGUGCUCAUUUAUUUAAAUUUAAAAAAUAAAACAAGAAAAAAAAAACAACAACAAAAAAAAUCAACCAAAAAAACCCCAACAAAUUCAAAACCCACCCAAGUCCAGAGAGCUUAUUAUUUUGUUCUAUUUGCUUAAGCAAAAAACCUCAGUUUUAACUUUGAAACAUCAACCCACAGUUAUGCAAGGAGGGUGACACUUGAAAUAAAAAAACUCAAAACUGAGGAGACAAAUAUUGAAGCUUUCAGCAGCAAAGGGACAGGUCUUCAAAAGUGUACUGGGUAUCAACCUGAAUUUUUCAGAUAGAUCAUUUUCAGGAGGACAUUUCUGGAAGGUGCAUACUACAGCUAACAUAUACAAGUAUCCAAACUAUUACACUGAACAUUAUUGAAAAGUGGUUCAGCAUUCAAUCUGGCUCAUUCCUAGUGUCCACUAUAAUGUGAAUGUAAAACUGAAGACUUUUUAAGAUUCAAAGUUCAGCCAUGGGUGUUGAAGAGUCCAACCUUAACUACUAUUGAUAUGCUGAGCAAGAAGAAAUAAAAUUCCAAAGCAGGAUGAACAUAUUUCAGUAGUCUUUUCAGAAACAUAAAGGUUAGGAAAGAAGUACAGACAUGCUCCAUGGUAAUCUCAGCUUUAUCUUGUGCUCCCUUUCCUCCGUGUGCCUGACUUGCCCUUCUCAAAUGUAUUUUUAACAGUGUUGGGCAUAGACAGCUGGUCUGUCUGGCCCAUGCUUUGCUACGGAAGACAAAAAUCUGGUUCUAGAUGAGGUGACAGCUUCUGUUGACAUGGAAACAGAGAUAACUUUGUGCAGCCCACCAUCAAAAGAGAGUUUCACAACUGCACAGCGUUAACUACAGCCCACAGGUUACACACAGUCAUGCAUUCACAGAGAGUGCUUGUUCUGGAUGGAGGAAGGAUUCUAGAAUAUGAUACACCACAGAUACUUUGUUACUGUGAAAAAGUGCCUUUUCUGAAAUGGUUGCAGAGACUGGGAUAAGAAGAUAAAGAAAACUAGUAAGUGAAUUCUGAAGGAAACUCAAAGGAUUUCUGGCAUUCCAUAUAUAUAGGUGCAGUAUUUUAUAUUUCAUAUAAAACAACUGACUUAAGAGCUCCUUGCAGCAUUGCUGUUUACUACAGCUACAAUCUGUAUGUAUUACUCCGUUUUCUUAAAAUUCAGAUUUUAUACAAAUCACUUGUUUUAUCAUAUUGGCACUGGGACAACAGAAUGAAGCAGAGAUGGAUUUUCAUGGCUAAAACUUUUGCAUUAGUAAAGACUGAUUGAAAAAUAAAUCCUGCUGUUGACAUGCUGGUCUUAACUUAAUCUAAGUUGCUCUGACAUUAUGCUCAUUUAGUUACUAAUUCUUAUUAUGAUUACACAUUCAGGAAAAAACAAAACUGCUUGUUGUGUGGACACAGAGACAGAUGUCACUUGGGGUUAAUUUUAAUACAUCCCCCCAUUUUUACUUAGGUAGGUCUUGAGGCAAUAAAUGUGCCCCAUUAAGUCAGUUUUCUGUUUGUGAUUUCUGAAAAACUGAAAACCACAUCUUACAUAUCUGAGCACUACAAAAUCUCAUUGUGAAAGAAUCCCAAAAAAUGCAGUCAGGUGGAGCUGCCUCUUUGCUGGUAACUAUUAAUGUAAACCUCCCUAUAAUUACAGAAGCAGGACAGAUUAUGUACACUUACUUGAAGUGUCAGCUGAGUGUAUCUGCUUCUGUAGGCCACAUAAAUAGUUAUUUCCAUUUUUCUUGCAGUUCCUGAAGCUCUUGAAAUUUAAUACUGACAUGUAAUCAGUCUUCUCUUAAGACCCCCCAUCAACUGCUUAAAAAAACCCAAAAAAAGUAAUAAAGUUCCUGGGUACAGCCCUGUUAUAUUAGUUUAAUGCUGACACCUGGUGUAUCGAGUACAAUCUUAAUUUCUUGCCCAAGGGAAAGUUAUGUGCACGUAGGCUAGGGGAGGUAGCCAUCAAUACCUUAGGAACCAAUCCCUUUUGCAAGGUCUAGAGAAAACAGUCUGAGGAGAGGCAUCAGUGCAUGGUAAUUUUUGCUUUAUUGAAUUUUUGGGGAGAGCUUUCUGUGCUUACUGCCAGGCCAACAUAACCUUUCACUUCCAGUUACUUUCAGAAUGCAGCUGGGAGAGCUGCCGACUGAACAAUGGCAAAGCCUGAGAGAAAAGAAAAUGCUGGACUAGUGUCAGCAAAGCCAUUCCUUCUCUUUCAGUGAGCUGUACCCCUCAUAUUUGACUGUAACUUCUGCUUUUCGCCAGCUUUGAAACAUUUAUGAAACACUGUAAUUGUUGAGGCUCUGCAGACUCUACAGCUCCCCAAGACAAAGCAGAUGUUCAAACUCUCUCACAGCUGACACAACUUCAUCUUCUACACUUCAAAGGAAUUUGAGGAAGACAGAAUUUCCUUGAGAAAGUGAAAGAAGACAGAUCCAAGGGGUAGAAAUUGCUUUUAUUUUAAAAAAUCUAAAAUUAUUUAUAAAAUGCAUUUCAUCAUCUGCACUGGGAAACAAUUAGGGAACACACAAUUGUUGAGGCCUCUUGAUGCUUUCAGAAUUUUAACUUGCCAAACAAGGCUUAGCUAGAGAAAUUGGUUACACACCUACCACCACAGGCAGUCAUAAGGAUUACAGAAAGAUUUCAGCCUUCAAGUAUCAACUUUUUUACAGAGAGACUUUUGGUAAACAGCCCAUGUGCACACCUGGAAAUAUCCACUUAGUGCAGUGGACCCGCCUUUAAAAUUUAAUUUUGUGCCAAAAUACAGUAUUAAAAGAUACAAAAUAAAUAAUUCAGAAAAUUUAAUAAAUAAGAAUGCAUUGAUAUCCAGUGUAUAGUAACUUCUCUACUAAAAACUCCAACCUGUAUAGAUCUCUGAAUAAAUGCCCUUUUGUGGAUUUAGUUUGUACAAGUAAACAACCUGCCCUUCCCUUCCAGUUCCCAGAUUAACACUGAAGGAGAUUUAACUCCCCCAGGGUGAAGGAGAAUGUGAAAGAAAAAAAUACUUCAUUUAUUUGCUCUGAGAGUUUUAACAGCUCCUACCUAACUUGUCCCAAAACUAUAAAGCUUUUAAUAGUUUAACUUCUCUGUGAAGUGGUUCUGUUUUAUACAGGUCUGCUUGCUUUACACAGUGCAUUAAAGACAUGAAGACCAAAGUCCUACUGUACCUCCAGUGGAUUUUGGGAUGAACUUACAGCAGGGCAGAAGGAAAGGCCACAGUGACUCUAAAGAGCUGGUACAGAUGUUGAACACACACAUUUACACAGCAGCAACUGAGGAAUGUACUGCACCCAUCCAUGGUGUCACUGAAGAGGCACUUCUUUCACUGCAGGAGUUUUACUUACUGGAAGCUCCACACUUAGCUGGGGUCACUUUCAAAGAGGCACAAAGGAAGGAAAGAAUCCUCAAAUUAAAAAAAAAAUCCUGGUUUUCAAUGCAGGAAAAUUAAGCAGAUGUCAGCAGUACUUUGGGAAUCCUCUGUCAGGUUAAACAAUGCUGAUGGAAUGGCUGUGUGCAACUAUGAUUCAAUUUAAGAGGUUUUUAAUUGGAUUACCUCAAAGAUGCAUUUAGACAAUAGCUAUGCAAACAGCUGAAUCAGCACAACUGAUUUAUGGCAGUGCCAUAAAUCAGGCCUGCUGCCAGGAGAGUAAUAAGCCUAUUUUAAUAUAGUCAUAGGUUAAAACAAUAAAUCUAAGCCCCACACUUUAUCUUAGCAAGGUUAAUACAAAAUUAUUCUGGAGAAGACAAGAAAAUCCUUAAAACUACCUGCUACUAGAGCUUACUUGAUGAAGACUGGGGUGAUGGAUGUUGAAACCAGUCUUAGCUGUAAGACAUGUUUUUUUGGUAGGAAGUUCCAAGCAGAUAACAGAAUUCAGCUGGUGCUUGAUUAUUGCUUAAUCCCUCCAAAGAGAACUGUCACCAAUUCAGUAUUUUUUCAGAUCAGUGACUUGGUUCUCCUCUCAACACAUUUUCAAAGUAUCUGGAUAGAGAUCUAUUUGACUAAAAGAGAGUCCUAAGAAGUGCCACCUCAAACCUCGAGUUACAGACAACACUUGUGUAACACUUGUGUAACACUUUCCCAACAGGACAGCUACAACCUCUGUUCCAUUUAGAGUAGGGAUAUGAAAAAGCUUAAACCACAUAAGAACUAAAAAGCACAAAGUAGUUGGGUCAAUUUUCAUUUACUAGGGCUACAGGAAUUACAUUUCAUCCAGGCCAUCCCUUCUGUCCCACACUUUCUCCACGAGGACAGUAUGGCUUGGGGUGCUUCACAGAGAAGAUGUCACACACUUGUAAAAGCAGAAUGAUGAAAUCCAUGUUGGUCAAAUUCAAGAGAAGACAGGCAGGUGUGGCCUCACAUAAAAUCACUGCAGUUUUAAAGUAAGGCAGGGGCAGGUAUGAAUAUUUGGCAAUAUACCCUCGUUCUCUGUGGAGAACAUCAGCACCUGUGUUUAACCAUCACAGCCAGGUCAGGAAUGAAGCCCUUGGAGACCAAGAAACUGCACUGGCAAGAGCCACGUUUUCAAUAAGGUUUCCUAAUCAUGGGACAAUUUGCCACAGAGCUUCAGCAUACCAUUAUGCUGUUAUGAACAGCAGAAGAAUCAAGUGAAUGCUUCAGUCUCAUUUAAGCUGCAAGAUGCCUUUAGGAAAGGUGCUUAAAUGCUCAAAUGGCCCAAUCUAAUAAAUAAGUGUAAGCUGAACACUGCCAGUGCUCUGUGCAUUAAUGCUGCUUCACAGUCCUUCCAAGGAAAUACACUGGACCCAGGAAUACUUCAGUACCACAUCAUCUCAAACCUUUGGUCACGCUCCCUUGACACUUUAAAUACACACCACUCCAGGAUUUGCUAAUAAAAACAUUUAGCAAGAAAAUGUGGGUGUGUCGUCAUUGGCAUUUUCAUCCAAUAUCCCCUCUCCAAGUAAACACAGCACACUUCAGAACUCGUUUGUACCUUUAAAGUAACAUCAAGCUUUAGCACAGGUAGGUGUCCAGUAACACCUAAUGGGAACAGGUGAAAAUUGAA